AAACUGACGAAAAAAUAAAAAUAGAUGUAAUACUAGUAGAUCGUGUUAAUUUUUAUUCAAUAGGAUUAAUACUUAUCAAUCACGGAUAUUACAACAAAAACAGAACACCGGAAGUUUUCGACUCCUUCGAUAUGAUAAUGUUGCAGCUUGUAGCACUGUAUGUACUUGUCCUUCUUAAUGCAGAUAUGUCACAAGGAGAGAAAUUAUAUAUAUUAGGCAAAGUGAAUGAAACACAAAGUACAGGAACGAAUAUUAAUGCAAGUAAAUUUCAGAACAGAACAGAUAUUCAGAUUUUGACCAACGUCAGCCAUAUCAACAUUUCGAAAGGACUGGAAGAAAAACGUGGUGAAAACAAUACUGAUUCCCAAUUUAUUGCCAAGAAUUCUUCCGAGUUACAUAUAGCUUUGAUUAUACCAUUAAUUCUAGUGCUUAUUGUCGUAAUGUUGGUGUUGCUUUUUUGUGUACGUAAUGAUAAGAAAAUAUGGAAACUAUUUAAAUCUAAGACAAUCUGUCGUAAAUCCUCUGGACAAAGAGAACAAGUGAACAACACACAUGGUGAAAAUAUUAUUAUGAUGGAUCCUAUUCUAGAGAAUGGUUGAUUUUUUCCAAUGAAUUAACGAGAAACUUUUUAUCAUGAACAAAUUUAAAAGUGUACCAAAUGUAUCAUUGAACGCAAGGAAUAUCGAAUCAUUUACUUGGGAAAGUCUUAUAGAUUUAACUUAUUAUUAUAGACUAUUUUGUCGCAGAGCGAAUCAAUUUUACACAACCUAUGAUCGUCAUAAACUAUUACUAAUUUGUUUUUGAGAAUGAAACGAUAUAAUUUGGU